GCCCUGUUUUUUCUGUAAUGGCCCUGUUUUUCUGUAAUGGCCCUGUUUUUUUCUGUAAUGGCCCCGUUUUUCUGUAAUGGCCCUGUAUUAAUGCCCAGUUUGUCUGUAUUAAGCCCUGUUAGAGUUUUUAAUAAAGUUAAUAAAACUAAGUUGUAAAGAGUAUAAUACCUUUUUGUAUUUUAUUUAAUUUAGUAACCAGCAACCAACAUUAAAGAACCAUAUAAAGGGAUCACUGUUCAUCCUGUUUUUAACACAUAUCUCUUUCAAUACUUAUCAAAGUACCAGGAUUAUAAUUCAGUUACGCCAGACUUAAUAUCUUGGAUAUUUGGUAUAUUUAAAGCUUUAUAAUGGUGAAGUACAAAUUAUUUUGUUCAAACUAAACUGUC
rnacentral:lncRNA from 1 species